CGGCGUGCCUAAUACUUGCAAGUCGAGCGGACAGAUGGGAGCUUGCUCCCUGAUGUUAGCGGCGGACGGGUGAGUAACACGUGGGUAACCUGCCUGUAAGACUGGGAUAACUCCGGGAAACCGGGGCUAAUACCGGAUGGUUGUUUGAACCGCAUGGUUCAAACAUAAAAGGUGGCUUCGGCUACCACUUACAGAUGGACCCGCGGCGCAUUAGCUAGUUGGUGAGGUAACGGCUCACCAAGGCAACGAUGCGUAGCCGACCUGAGAGGGUGAUCGGCCACACUGGGACUGAGACACGGCCCAGACUCCUACGGGAGGCAGCAGUAGGGAAUCUUCCGCAAUGGACGAAAGUCUGACGGAGCAACGCCGCGUGAGUGAUGAAGGUUUUCGGAUCGUAAAGCUCUGUUGUUAGGGAAGAACAAGUACCGUUCGAAUAGGGCGGUACCUUGACGGUACCUAACCAGAAAGCCACGGCUAACUACGUGCCAGCAGCCGCGGUAAUACGUAGGUGGCAAGCGUUGUCCGGAAUUAUUGGGCGUAAAGGGCUCGCAGGCGGUUUCUUAAGUCUGAUGUGAAAGCCCCCGGCUCAACCGGGGAGGGUCAUUGGAAACUGGGGAACUUGAGUGCAGAAGAGGAGAGUGGAAUUCCACGUGUAGCGGUGAAAUGCGUAGAGAUGUGGAGGAACACCAGUGGCGAAGGCGACUCUCUGGUCUGUAACUGACGCUGAGGAGCGAAAGCGUGGGGAGCGAACAGGAUUAGAUACCCUGGUAGUCCACGCCGUAAACGAUGAGUGCUAAGUGUUAGGGGGUUUCCGCCCCUUAGUGCUGCAGCUAACGCAUUAAGCACUCCGCCUGCG
rnacentral:rRNA from 1 species